GGCAUAGUUUGCUGUUUCACUGGCCUGUAACUGUAGCUGAAGCUGAAGCCAUGGGGUUUCUCUUGAUAUGUUUUCUGUUGCCCUUGGCAGCUGUUGGAAGGCAUCAAGCGAGUGCUGAGAAGGAUGAAGAUAAUGAAGUGCCAGUUGCAGGCUAUCGAACACAUUCAAGUGGCUCUAAAACUGGAGACCAGUCUUCAUGGUGCACUUGGCCUCUUGGCGGUGCUCCAAUGUCA